AAAGACUUCAGUUUUCAAGGCAUUAAAAAUUUUAUUUUUAUUUUUUAAAGGUAUUUUGUCUGGAUUGUUCAAUUACAAGCUUGAUUUUUACUACUUUUACUACAGUCUGUGUUACAGAUGUUGUCAAUAGUUCACAUAAACAAUCUCAAAGAGUUAAGUUUCUGCUGUUACACCUGCUAUUGCUGUUGUAAAUACUCAAAAUUUUAGGAAGUUGUAUUGCUAUUUAAAAAAUCCUUAUCUGUACGUAACAGACGAUGGAGACGAAGUGAUUAUUAUGUGUGGUAAAAGAUUAUUAUUUUUAUGAAGUUUUUCAUUUUCUGACUUCGUGAUGAAACUUAUUGGAGUACACUUGUCAUGGACAUGGAAGGAGUAUUGCCGCUACAAGCAUGAACAAUAAUAAAACAUUCCAAAGAACAAUUUGUUAUAACGAUUAGAUUUGUUGUUUUAAUGUAUAGAUGCUUUUUGAAUAUUCUUAUUAUAUAUCAUCCUAAUUUCAAAAUAAUGUUUCAUUUUUUUAAUAAGAAAAGUACUUUUGUAAUAUUGUUUUAUAGUU